CCAAGAUUCUCAUGACUUGGGAAAAGGAGAUAUUGGUCGAGACCACCAGAGGGUCUUCACUUUUCAUAUCUAAAACAUCCCUAUUAUCAUGUUCUGAAAAUUAAAAAUCCCAUGGAGAAGGCUUUGGUUUUUUAGUCAUGGCUAAAACCAAUAAGAAACUUUCUAAAUGAGCCUUCUGCUUUAAGUUUGAUGGACCUAACCUAUUUUCUUCCCUCUACUAGCAAAUCAUUAAUUCCACUCACUGCUUUCUUUCCCUUGUCAUCGCACUCCAACCUUGAUUUUCUUACUUUAUUGUCUUCAGCUUUGUUUAGCUGAUGGGGGUUCUGAGCUAGAAACUUGAGAUACCCUUUCUGAAUUGCCAUUUCAAUAGCAUUCUUUAAGUGCAUACGUUGCUCAGUUCGAUGCCCUCUAGUGUUAGGUUUUGUAGUGAUGAUUAGAGUUACUGCAAUGCUGGUUGGGUGAGAGAUGCAGGGGUACUACCAAGAUUCCCUGAUAUUAUACAUGGUCGAAUACCUGGGUUGGGAGAAGUUGAACUCAUAAUAGGUCCUAAACUGGUUGUACAAGGCUCAAGGUUGUUGGUCUUCGCCUGCCCUUAUGGAUAGGAUCAAUUGAGAGCUGAAGGUGCAUUUCAAGGGCUAAACUGUAGCUUAGGUCAUAACCAAGAGGCUGGGCAGCUACAACGUUGAAACAAAAGCAUGGGGGAGCAAGUCAAGCCAUCUCAUUGUGAUGUGGAAACAGCCGACGUUACGACUUCACAACCUCAUGUCAUGACGAGGAGUAGUCAACGCUGUGAUGUCGUGACAAUUUCAAGGGACGUGGACCUGUGUGUUUAAGGGCAUUUUAUGCUCAUUCUUCAAUUUUAAGCCUUAAACUUUGUAAUAACAUUAAGGGAAUUUUAGUCUUCUAAUUGUUUCCUAUAUAAACAGCAUUUUGCUUUCAUUUUGAAGGGGAGAAGAAAAAGAAAUGGAUGAGUAGUAGAUAAUAGUUUUGAGAGUUA